CUCAUUUUGCCUUCAUACAGUUAUCUUUGUCAAAUUUACAUAACCAGGCACUUUCAGGUUGAGACACGAUUGACCUUCAACCGCUAAUUAUGGACAACAUUACUAUUUUUGGUCACAUGGAUGGAGACCUACGUCGAACUGUCCAAUUUCUUCAAGAAAGAAAUGUUAAUGUUGUUAUCCGUGAUGAGCGUGACCUUAAUGUCAUUCGUGUUUGAGAGGCAAAAGAAAAGGAAAUUGCCAAGGCAUUGUUGAAGAAAAACGAAAAGACCACCGUUUCAAGCAAGGGAAAGGAAAAUGCAUGUUCAG